UUCAGGAUGGUGCAAUGGUUUGGGUGUUGGACUAGAACUCUGGAGACCAGGGUUCAAUUCCUUGCUUGGUCAUGAAA